AGCUCUGUCUUCACAACUGUGUGUCAUUUUGAGCCUGGUCAGGAGGCCCAGUAGUCAGAGAGUUUGACAGGCUGUCUGGGGUCUGUUUCUUGAUUCUCCAGGAGCCGAACUCUGGACCCAGAAAUACUUGGUUGAAUCUUGGCCUGCAGUUUUCAAGAAUCAGAAAGCUUCCUGAGAGAUGCCAGGCAAAAGUGAACAUUCAUCUCUCCUUGUCAAGCAAGCAUCCUGUGCAAGCCUUUGAGAGGGAUCGAUAUUCAGGCAUUGCUGCCAGGGAACAGCUGGCUCUUUAGACAGUUAUUCCAGAAUCCCAAAUCCGGGGCCACACCUACACCAUAUGGAAGUUCCCAGGCUUGGGGAUGAAUCAGAGCUGCAGCUGCCGGCCUACACCACAGCCAGGGCAAUCAGGGAGCCAAGCUGCGUCUGUGACCUACCCCACAGCUCACGGCAAUGCUGGAUCCCCGACCCACUGAGUAAGGCCAGGGAUCUAAUCUGUGUCCUCAUGGAUGCUAGUCAGAUUCAUUCCCACUGCACCACAAUAAGAACUCCUCCUAUAUAUGGUUUCAGAACCAAAGAGCUUGGCACCCAGAGCAGAGCACAGGUAGGCUUGUGGAUGUCCUGACAGGAGACCCUGAUACCAGACCAGCCCUGACGGCUCCCUUAAACCAAAGCCUCCUUCCACUCCCCACAAGGCUCUCAUCCUUUUCCUCCCUCGGAUCCACCUGAGGGCAUGCAUUCUUUGCCAAAGGUGCUCCUCCUUUAUCCCUUGCCUUCUUUGUGCCUGGGUUCCCUCUGGGGGCUGUGGGGCCAGCCAUUGAUGUUUAUGCUGGUCCAGCCCAGGCUGGCUCUGCAGGGAAGAGAAAACCCUACCUCUGGGAACUGUCCUGAGUCACUCUUCCAUGGGACCCAUUCCCAGAGGUGGUCUCUACCCUAUUCACACAGCUCUCUGGCCCCCAUCACAGGGAGGAGCAUGCCAGAACAACCUGCACACUACCAUGGCAGCACAUAGUCUCCAGGAUGCCCUUCAGCCUGGCCUUGACAACUCUCUGCAGCAUCUGGCUCAGCCAUGCACCUCCCAGGCCCCACAGUGGUGGGGCCAGGGGCCCAAGCUGUCCUUGCCAGGGGACAGCCCAGGCAAGGGGUGAUUCUGCAGCCUGCACAUGCAAAUUAAGAGACAUGCCCUCUCCUGGACCUGCAGCACCAGCAUCAGCCCUCCAAGCCUCAUCAAGACUCCUAGACAAACUCUCUUCAGACACAGACAUUCUGUGCAGGCCCUUUCCUGAAAAUGGACUCACGGGAAGAGGAACUUGUGGGAGGCAUGGAAACAUCCCUCAGUGAGGUAGUCUUCCAGGCCCUUCUCGCCACUCUGAAAAGCUCACCGGGCCCUCAGGCUCAGAAGGACAAAGGAGAACCUUCCCUUGAGCCUCUUUCUGACCUUCUACCCUGGGAUACAAAGCCAUGGGUGACAAAAAGGAGAAGGAACAAGCCACGCUCAUAGUGUCCGACAGCCAAACCAAGGCAAGAAGACUGUGGGUGCGACUUCCAUGCUCCAUGAACAUUGUCAACUUAAUGAAGGGUAUUUUCUGAGUGAUUAAGUGUGAGAUUUGGGGUUGGUGUGGUUUGUUUCCUUGUGGUGCUGGUAUUUGUUUAUUUGGACUGCUUCUAGCUUUUUCCAUUGGAAAAGGCAAAAGUCUACUGUUGCCAUGGCAAAAAGCAACAUCGAGAAGUUCAGAGGAGGGAGGAGGAACCCGCUAAGGGUAGUCUCCAGAUCUGUCUUUCAAACAUUAAAGCAUAAUGUCCACAUUCCUUUCGGGAGGUUUUCUUGGAGGCAGGGUUUGUUUGUUUGUUUGUUUUCUUUUUGUCUUUUCUGGGGCCGCACCCGCAGCAUAUGGAGGUUCCCAGGCUAGGGGUCUAAUCGGAGCUUUAGCCGCUGGCCUGCACUAGAGCCCCAGCAAUGCAGCAUCCAAGCCACAUCUGUGACCUACACCACAGCUCAUGGCAACGCUGGAUCCUUAACCCACUGAGCAAGGCCAGGGAUCAAACCCACAACCUUGUGGUUCCUAGUCGGAUUUUUUAACCACUGAGCCAUGACAGGAACUCCAGGGGCAGAUUUUUUUGAGAAUGCAUGGUUUUGACCUGGGAUGCAUUUUCCUAAACCGGUAGGCAUAUGUCCUUGAAAUUCCCUAGGGGAACCAUGACCUGAAUUGACUGGGGAGAUGGAUGCAGGCCAUGGAAGACACCUAGACCUCUCCAAAGCAUUUGGAGUGGCAUCCCAGGGAGAUAUGCUGAUCAAGGGUACAGCUUUUGGGGUAACCAGGUAUUGUCCACACCUUUGGGCAACAUAGGUGGCAGGACCCUGUGCAUGGCACUAUGGAAACCAUUUGUCGUUUUUAAAUGCUGGCAGGGAAACUACGUCUCUUGUGGUUGCCCAAGACAAGCAUGGGAAAAAGUAACAAGUAGUUCUCAGGCUAAUCUGUCUUGGUGGAAACUAUAGUAUGCAACUGAAUUGGGAUGUUUCAAGAUACUCUAAGAUCAAAUGUAAUGUGUCUGAAGUAUGAUUAAAGAUUUUGAGCAAA
rnacentral:lncRNA from 1 species